rnacentral:lncRNA from 1 species
CGCCGACGCUGAGCUGGUGCAGCGUUAUCUUGCGGUCCAACCAAACCGUCGUCGACUCGGCCCGCAACAGCCCAGAUCAGCAGCCAGCAAUGUACGAGAGCUCGACAGCCCGCCUGACGGAGGCCAAGCCCCAAGUGCCUUACAGCAGGGCAAUGUGGGCUGCGGAGCCUGUGAUCCCCGACAGAGCCGUCUACACGUUUGGAACCCUGACGCUACUGAUUCUGGCUGGGGCUCUGAUAAUCUUGGGCUACGCUGCCUACGUCAAGCUCUCCUGAGCACUCUUGCAACCGGCAGCCUUCCUUGUUCCCCCGUAAGUGUUGGUGUUA